AGCUACGGUAGCCUAGUGGUUAGAGCGACCGCCUCAGAUGCAAGAGGUGUUGGUUCGAUUCCCGGUCGAGUCA